GGACCAAGGAGUCUAGCAUGUGCGCGAGUCAUUGGGACUCUAACGAAACCUAAAGGCGCAAUGAAAGUGAAGGUCCGCCUUGCGCGGACCGAGGGAGGAUGGGGGGUCCCGAGGGACCUCCUCGCACUCCCGGGGCGUCUCGUUCUCAUUGCGAGAAGAGGCGCACCCAGAGCGUACACGCUGGGACCCGAAAGAUGGUGAACUAUGCCUGGUCAGGACGAAGUCAGGGGAAACCCUGAUGGAGGUCCGUAGCGAUUCUGACGUGCAAAUCGAUCGUCGGAACUGGGUAUAGGGGCGAAAGACUAAUCGAACCAUCUAGUAGCUGGUUCCCUCCGAAGUUUCCCUCAGGAUAGCUGGCGCUCGCAUCUAGCGAGUCUCAUUCGGUAAAGCGAAUGAUUAGAGGCAUUGGGGUCGAAACGGCCUCAACCUAUUCUCAAACUUUAAAUGGGUGAGAUCUCCGGCUUGCUUGAACUGUGAAGCCGCGAGAUAUCGGAUCAGAGUGCCAAGUGGGCCACUUUUGGUAAGCAGAACUGGCGCUGUGGGAUGAACCAAACGCCGAGUUAAAGCGCCUAAAUCGACGCUUAUGGGAUACCAUGAAAGGCGUUGGUAACUUAAGACAGCAGGACGGUGGCCAUGGAAGUCGGA
rnacentral:rRNA from 1 species